GCGGACGUGGCGGAAUUGGUAGACGCAAGGGACUUAAAAUCCCUCGGGGGCGACCCCAUGCCGGUUCGAUCCCGGCCGUCCGCACCA
rnacentral:tRNA from 1 species